CAUGCUAAUUGAGAAUGCUUUUCUUUCCAAUAACAUUUGAAGAAUAACAAUUUCAUUCAGUCCCAUAACAUUUUUUUAAGCUAGAACAAUUUAGAAGUAAUCAACAAGCUUAGUAAAAAUGUCAUUAUCUUCAGCAAGAUUGAAACAUAUCUUUAUCACAUUUUUAAUUUUGCAGUUCAGGUGUCUGAGUACAUUCUAGCACUAUAAAGCAGCAUACAGACAAAUAAAACCAUCACAAUACCAGGGACAGGCAAAAUAAAUAAAAAUAACAUGUUAAGAAUCGCAGCAAAGAUGUCCAAAAGAUUUGUUUCCUUAAGGCAAGUAAUUUUCUAAAGUACUAUAAUUUAGGUAUAUGAGAUUAAAUUUUGUUUCAUUUGACCAAUGCAUAGUACAGAACAGCGGAAUUGAAAUUUCAACAAAGCAAGUAAAAUCUUUUUUUUUUGUUUAGAUUUAUGCAUGCUAAUUUGAGAAAUAUGUAUUAUGUUUCAAUAACAUUCUAAGAAUAUUUCUACUAAUGCUUUUGAAAUUUAUUUUCCACUUUUGCAUAAGUUUGAUAUAAGUUCAUCUCCCGGCAUAGAAUUUAUAGAGCACAAUCCUGAGUAUGCAACUAUCUAAGUUCAUUUAAACACAUUAUUGGUUAGACAGCCCUAUGCUCUUUUCAUUCAUUUAAUAAUAUUCUUCAGAUCAAGCUACAGAGAUCUAAAUGUUUCAUGCAAAAAGAAAGAAAGAAAAAAAAAGAAGCAUGCAGAGAAAUGGAACCAUCAUCUGAUAGGGACAUGCAAAAUAUAAAAAUCACAACAAGGAAUUUUGAUUCUAUAUGUUGGAGAUCCAGAGUACAUCCUAUUGCUUCAAAUAGAGCAGCAUACUACAGUCAAAUGAUGCCAUCUCCUAGGAGAAACAGUUUGUUUUUUUCUAUUUCAAAUGCUGAGCAUACACAACUAAAUUGGAAGAACAGAUGGUGGAAGAAGAGAUGAAGUCCAAAACUUGAAAGCAACAGACAAACCAGACCAAGAUAAAGUUAAUCCUGCUCAUUUACAGACACUAGUAUGGGCUUACUUGUGACUUAGGAUGACAGCCAAGAUUAUGAUUUAAGCAUACAUAAGUAAACAAGAAGGACAGAUAAAGUCCAAAAUUCAAAGCAACAGACAACCCAGACCAAGAAAAAAGUACAUCCUGCUGACUUAGACCACAAUAAAGUACAUCCUGCUGAUUUACAGAACAAAAAGUACAUUCUGCUGAUUUACAGACAAUUCUAUGGGCUAUAGUAAUAAAAAGUGUCUUUAGAUGAUA